CUCCCAUCGAGUCGUCAUUCUGCAGAUGAAGCCCUCCACACAGUGACACUUCUCUGCAGCAAGCCGCUUGGAGGUCUUCUCCAGCAGUUCUUGGAUGUUUAUUCUCUUUCCUAUACAACAGAAGGGGGGUCGAGAGGGCGGAGGAGGCUAACCUCCGUUUCAGAAAUCAUUUGCCUGUAAAAUAUGAAAAUAAAUAAAUAAUAACCACCUCGGAUUUUGAUGAAACUUUCAGGGAAAUUCUGUGGCUAAUAAGUGUGUUGAUGCCCAGCCACCAGGUGCUCGUUAACAUGCCCCAUAUCCAGGCCUGGCUCCAGAGUGGGGCCCUGUUGACCCACGUCCAGGCGAGGGAAUGACAUAAAGAGUGGUUCAACAAGAUGGCGGAGCUGAGUAACCAAACAGGACCAGGAGUAAAAAGGAGGCAAGCGGCAUGGAACGAGGAGGACUUCUCAAAGGAGGGUUUCCAGGAUGGCAGUAUGGAGGAGCAAAGCCCCAGGGUCAGGUAAUCAACCUUAGAGCAAAAACAAAGGGUAAAUCAAAAAUAUAUUUUGUUCUAGAAAACUUAGCAGACUAAAACAAUACCAUAAAGGUAAGAUGCAUCAGCUUGGACCAGAAGGUGAAGAUGCCUUAUAAAGCCAGCAUCUCAUCAGAUGAAAUCCCUCACAGGUGUAGAGAGAGUUCAGGAACCAAUCAGGAAAGAUGAAACCAAGACCAAUCAUCACAGGGAACACUGACUCCAUUUUUGGUACUCAUCAUUAGGGGUCUUUGGACUGCACUUUGUCUGAUCCCUCACCUAGGACCUAUUUGCCUUAGGUGACCCUACUG